AAGAACACCUACAUCUGGUGCCAAUUUGAGUUCAACUACUGUUGUUGCUCCCACCAGCGUACCAUGUACAAGUUCAAAAGCAACCACUUCAGUAACAACUAAAAGACCAAGAACCAAGUUGGGUGAUGCUAAAACUGGAAGUUCUAAAACCAAUUCAGGUGCUACUAAAACUGGAAUGGUUCAAACCAAGAGUAUUAGAUUUGGAGAUGCUGUGUUUUCUACCCAAGGAUCUUCAACUGCUGCAACUGGACGUUCAACAGUUAUGCGCACACCUGAAUGUGUUUUGAUGUGAAAUGGUGUUGCUGUUGCUAUUUUUGUCAUUACUAGUAUUUGAAGUUACCUUUGCAGCAAUGUUAGAAAUGCUGAUGUUGUUUUUCUUUUCCCAUUAUUUGGACAUGUUCUAGAAUCAUGUUUUGGCUGGGUUCUACUAAAAUGGCCUUUGUUUGGGUGGCCAUGCAGACACAUGCUAAGAUGUAAUCUGAUGUGUAAAAUACUUUUAACUUAAUAUAAUUUUCUUUCAUA